rnacentral:rRNA from 1 species
GACGAACGCUGGCGGCGUGCUUAACACAUGCAAGUCGAACGGAAAGGCCCUGCUUUUGUGGGGUGCUCGAGUGGCGAACGGGUGAGUAACACGUGAGUAACCUGCCCUUGACUUUGGGAUAACUUCAGGAAACUGGGGCUAAUACCGGAUAGGAGCUCCUGCUGCAUGGAGGGCGUUGGAAAGUUUCGGCGGUUGGGGAUGGACUCGCGGCUUAUCAGCUUGUUGGUGGGGUAGUGGCUUACCAAGGCUUUGACGGAUAGCCGGCCUGGGAGGGUGACCGGCCACAAUGGGACUGAGAUACGGCCCAGACUCCUACGGGAGGCAGAAGUGGGGAAUAUUGCACAAUGGGCGGAAGCCUGAUGCAGAGACGCCGGGUGCGGGAUGACGGCCUUCGGGUUGUGAACCGCUGUCGCCUGUGACGAAGCGUGAGUGACGGUAAUGGGUAAAGAAGCACCGGCUAACUACGUG